GCUUGCACCUUAUCUUAGCGGCGGACGGGUGAGUAAUGCUUAGGAAUCUGCCUAUUAGUGGGGGACAACAUUCCGAAAGGAAUGCUAAUACCGCAUACGUCCUACGGGAGAAAGCAGGGGAUCUUCGGACCUUGCGCUAAUAGAUGAGCCUAAGUCGGAUUAGCUAGUUGGUGGGGUAAAGGCCUACCAAGGCGACGAUCUGUAGCGGGUCUGAGAGGAUGAUCCGCCACACUGGGACUGAGACACGGCCCAGACUCCUACGGGAGGCAGCAGUGGGGAAUAUUGGACAAUGGGGGGAACCCUGAUCCAGCCAUGCCGCGUGUGUGAAGAAGGCCUUAUGGUUGUAAAGCACUUUAAGCGAGGAGGAGGCUACUGAGACUAAUACUCUUGGAUAGUGGACGUUACUCGCAGAAUAAGCACCGGCUAACUCUGUGCCAGCAGCCGCGGUAAUACAGAGGGUGCGAGCGUUAAUCGGAUUUACUGGGCGUAAAGCGUGCGUAGGCGGCUUUUUAAGUCGGAUGUGAAAUCCCCGAGCUUAACUUGGGAAUUGCAUUCGAUACUGGGAAGCUAGAGUAUGGGAGAGGAUGG
rnacentral:rRNA from 1 species